rnacentral:rRNA from 1 species
GAGUUUGAUCCUGGCUCAGGACGAACGCUGGCGGCGUGCCUAACACAUGCAAGUCGAACGGAGUUACUUUGGUGAAGUUUUCGGAUGGAUCUGAUUUAACUUAGUGGCGGACGGGUGAGUAAUGCGUGAGCAACCUGCCCUUCAGAGGGGGACAACAGUUGGAAACGACUGCUAAUACCGCAUAAGCCCACAGGUCGGCAUCGACCAGAGGGAAAAGGAGCAAUCCGCUUUGAGAUGGCCUCGCGUCCGAUUAGCUAGUUGGUGAGGUAAUGGCCCACCAAGGCAACGAUCGGUAGCCGGACUGAGAGGUUGAACGGCCACAUUGGGACUGAGACACGGCCCAGACUCCUACGGGAGGCAGCAGUGGGGAAUAUUGCACAAUGGGGGAAACCCUGAUGCAGCGACGCCGCGUGGAGGAAGAAGGUCUUCGGAUUGUAAACUCCUGUUGUUGAGGAAGAUAAUGACGGUACUCAACAAGGAAGUGACGGCUAACUACGUGCCAGCCGCCGCGGUAAUAC